AGAAUGAACGCUGGCGGCGUGCUUUACACAUGCAAGUCGAGCGAGGCGUGUAGCAAUACACAGUCGAGCGGCGAACGGGUGAGUAACACGUGGAUCAUCUACCUUCAGGUGGGGGAUAACCCGGGGAAACUCGGGCUAAUACCGCAUAACAUCGUGAGAUCAAAGGGGCGCAAGUCCCGCCAGAAGAGGAGUCCGCGUUCGAUUAGCUAGUUGGUAGGGUAAUGGCCUACCAAGGCGACGAUCGAUA
rnacentral:rRNA from 1 species